UGGGGAAUAUUGGGCAAUGGGCGCAAGCCUGACCCAGCAAUGCCGCGUGGGUGAAGAAGGUCUUCGGAUUGUAAAGCCCUUUCGGCGGGGACGAUGAUGACGGUACCCGCAGAAGAAGCCCCGGCCAACUUCGUGCCAGCAGCCGCGGUAAUACGAAGGGGGCUAGCGUUGCUCGGAAUCACUGGGCGUAAAGGGCGCGUAGGCGGCCCUGUUGGUCGGGCGUGAAAUCCCCGGGCUCAACCCGGGGGCUGCGCCCGAAACGGCAAGGCUUGAGGCAAGGAGAGGCUCGCGGAAUUCCCAGUGUAGAGGUGAAAUUCGUAGAUAUUGGGAAGAACACCGGUGGCGAAGGCGGCGAGCUGGCCUUGAACUGACGCUGAGGCGCGACAGCGUGGGGAGCAAACAGG
rnacentral:rRNA from 1 species